rnacentral:lncRNA from 13 species
GCUGGCUGGGGCCACUUGGUGGCUGGCAUCUGCUAACCUUUAAGCUCAGAGGCUAGACUGCCUCACAGCUUCAGCUGUGUGAAUGCAAAUGGCUUGGGUGCAAGUACUUGGGCUGAAGCAGAAGCAAAGGUAGGAGCUGUGACCUGGGUCUCUAGGAGCUUGGUCUUAGUGCCAUCACGAGUGUGAGGCACUUCUCCUAAUGUUGGAAUCCCUCUGACUGACGUGUUUGGGAGAGGAAGUUAAAAUGAGGUGAUAUCUGUGUGUCUCUACUAUGAAUGUCUCCAGCGUAUAUUCUCUAUCUAGGAAUCUAUUUCUGUUGUUUCUCUGUAAACCUUUAUACUGAGCACGUGUUCCUUGCUGGGCACUAGUCCACAUGCUGUGGAACAUGAUGCAGUCCUUCUCCACAAGAAGCUCACAGUCUAGGUGGGGAGGUGGAUAAGUAAGCCAGGAAUUGGAGCACAUGGCGCCUAAUGCUACAGAGUGCUGUAGAGCCACGAACAGAGCCACCUCUAAUUAAAAUAAUAUUUUGAUUAUUGUUACCAAAGAUUGGUCCCAUAAUAUUAAUAGAUAUUCCUACCUCUGCAGGGAUCAGCCCACCUUUGGUCCCAGCGCUGGCUAUGUUGACAGAGAAGUACAUUUGGUUCUACUUGAAGGAACUGUCCCUAGUCUAAAUGGCCCCAGUAUUUAAAGUCUAGGUGGAGUUUGUCUCCUGAUCCCUUCAGCCCCCUGCAGUUCAGCACAUCCAGGAGGUGCCUGGUGAUCCACUUCUCAACAAGGCAUCACUUGCCAAUCAGUGAAAUGGGAAGAGCCCAUUCAGGAGAGGAAAGCGAGUGUGCCAAGAGAAGGAGGAGCAUGUGGAAAUGGCCUGAUCAGAACGAGACAGAAAUCAACUUGGUUGGUGGGGGUCGGACAAGGCUGGGAAGAUAAGUUAGCACUGGAUUGUGGAGCUUUUUAUCAUUGGCCACACAAAAACUAUUCCAGUGGUGUCUGCCAAAAUAGUAGUUGCAAAGACCUUUGAAUUGU